CAUUUCUACAGACCCUGAAAUGGAUCUCAAUGGGCUAGAGUUGGGGUGUCAGCAGAACGAGGCUCUUUCCUGCCGGCCACAAUCCUUAGCUCCCCUGGCUUCAGAGCCAGCUCUUCAUAUUGGUCAUCCGCCUCCUCCAACAUUUAAAGGGCUCAGAAAACGAUUCUGGAUCCACCCAGAUAACCAGCCCAAGGCACCUCAGAGAAGAGCUGAGGUCAUCAGACUCCUGCUGGCCAGUCUUACAGGACAGUUUGGAAGACCAGCUGCACCCAUUGCCACGUCUUCUCGCCUACAUCGACUCCGGCCCUUCUGGCCCCUCUCCUCAGCCCAAGCCAAGUUCGUAUUGUAUCCCAAACUCUGACUCCCUCCAGAAACUCAGAGUUUAACCAAGGGACUGGGCCUCCAAACAUAAGGAGGACUGGACUCGGAGGCAGAAGAUCUGGGUGCAAACCUCAGUCCUCUACAAAAUGGGAAUGUUGACAUGCUGGACCUGCCUGGAAGAGGUGACAUGCCUGAACACUUACAUUGGAAUUAUGAAACACAAGGAAAGACUCCUACCUUCUUCUCUGUGGGACACAGUAAGCAGGCCAUGCCCAGGCUGGCAUUUCACAUACCAGCUACUGUGGAGAUCCCCACAUUUCUCUCUGUUGGGGGAUCCCCAAUAGUUGUGGGGGGAAGAACACCAGAGAACAGGGAGGAGACCAUCAGAUGGCUAGCAGCCAUAGGGUCCUGCAAAUUAGGACUUAUAAAUGCUUGAAGGGCAA